rnacentral:lncRNA from 1 species
ACCAUGUCACAACUUCGGGGCUUGCCUGAGCACCCUCCACAGCAUCCAGCGGCAUGACAGAGAGCACAGCACACAAGUACCAUUCAAACCUGCUCAGCUACUAAGCGAAACCAGCACCACAGCACCCGGAAAACCCGCCUUCUCUUCUGACUGGCAGGUCCGCCUAAAGGCUCUGAUUGGCCAGUAAGUCUGGAGUGACUCGAGCACCUCCCUUAGAUUUAGAGUGUGCUGAAGGUACACAGUGUAGAGGUUCUCAGCCCAAGCUUCAAGUCCAGGGCCAGACCUUUUCCAGAUCUACAGGGAUUUUCAUUUCUGUAGUAUUUGUGUCUGUCCUCCCUACCCAUCUGUCCCCCGCGCAGCCCCAGGGAGGCCCCACCACUCCACCUGCCGCAGCUCCGCUGCACCGCCGCUUGCUCCGCAGCUUGCUCCUCCCCUAUGUGGGCAGUGACCCUGUGCUCACCCAGUCCUGACUUCAACCUGAGCUUCCCUCACUCAGCAGCCUUCUUCCUCCUGGAAUCAAGGGGCACAGGUUACACCAGCAAGAUUACAGCUUGUUACUUCCUCCCAGCCUAGCAAGGCUGACUCAGACCAUCCCGCCAAUUAGGCGGAGUCACCUGCUGUGCUGCUUCUCAUCCCUCUCCUUUGAUGUGCCACUACCUGCCUGAGGCCGAACCUGCCUGAGGCCGAACCGGUUCUCUGAGAUUUUCCGGAGUUAUCACCGAAAUGUGAUCUUCGAUAGUUCCUACUAAAAGACUGAUCUGACUACUUCAAAGGAACUUUGUGUGACUGGGAAUGGGCCUUCCCUCUUCUUUAUGAAGCGUGCUUGC